UACGUAGGGUGCGAGCGUUAAUCGGAAUUACUGGGCGUAAAGUGUGCGCAGGCGGCCGAGCAAGUCUAGUGUGAAAGCCCCGAGCUUAACUUGGGAACUGCGCUCGAAACUACUUGGCUAGAGUGUGGCAGAGGGAGGUGGAAUUCCACGUGUAGCGGUGAAAUGCGUAGAGAUGUGGAGGAACACCGAUGGCGAAGGCAGCCUCCUGGGCCAACACUGACGCUCAUGCACGAAAGCUAGGGGAGCGAACGGG
rnacentral:rRNA from 1 species